rnacentral:rRNA from 1 species
AUGUCACUGAAUCUGACACUCCACCUACCAAAUCUGCUGCAAGCCAGGGACAAUCAACAGGUUUCUCCGCCCGUAGCAUCUAUCACCAAAAGAAGUUCAGACUAUAGUCUUGUAGUUCAAAAUUUUGUAAUAACAAGCACUACUAGGUUGCUUUUGUUUGUACGUCUUCAUUCUAUACAACCCAUGGAACUAAAAAUGCAUUGGUCAUUCUUCGGUAUAUACAACCAAUGCAACCAAAAAUGCAUUGGGCUUUUCUUUGUACAUCUUCAGGUUCUACAACCAAUGCAACAAAAAAUCCAUUGGGCAGUCUUCCAUUCUAGUCGGGCACCAAUAGUUAAACGAGGAGCUAAACAGUGUUGGAGUCUAAAACUACAUACAAUCAUGAAGCAGAGAGAUGCGACUUGGAAGCUGUGCUCCUGUGAGCUCGUAUUUUUUGAAGAAAAAAGUAAUAUUUGA